rnacentral:rRNA from 1 species
UCGAGGAUCUUCGGCAAUGGGCGCAAGCCCGACCGAGCGACGCCGCGUGCGCGACGAAGGCCCUCGGGUUGUAAAGCGCGAAGGGAGUGAGGAAGCCCGAAAGGGUUGACCGACCUCCAGUAAGCACGGGCUAAGUUCGUGCCAGCAGCCGCGGUAAGACGAACCGUGCGAACGUUGUUCGGAAUCACUGGGCUUAAAGGGCGCGUAGGCGGCCCGACGCGUCCGGGGUGAAAUGCCGUCGCCCAACGACGGCACUGCCUCGGGUACGGUCGGGCUGGAGUGGGGCAGGGGCCCGCGGAACAUCCGGUGGAGCGGUGAAAUGCGUUGAGAUCGGAUGGAACUCCGGCGGCGAAAGCGGCGGGCUGGACCCCAACUGACGCUGAGGCGCGAAAGCCAGGGG